CCCCCCCCCCCACACACACACACUGAAAGCCCUAUUAAAGUAAUGAGAUGAUUUGUGAAAAAGCCUAUCCGCACUGGAAGAAUGUUUCUAUGGCCCAAUCAAAACAGCUAAUUAAUUGGUAGAGCCCUACAACAAGCAUGGAGUAUCUGCUAACCACACGCCGGAUAGAACACAUCACCUGUGAACGGAUGCUAGGGCCGUUGAAGGAUGCUGAAGAGCAGGAGUAGGCCAACAAAUGUCCUCUUGAGACCUCACGUCCUCAAGUGUCCCCUUCUGAAAAGACCCACCUUUCAAUAACGUCAUCAUACCAGGCUGCCAUGACGGGAAUCAACCUACCAAAAUGAAGUCAGAGCCCUCGGGAUCCAAUCACUUCCGCCAAGCCCACAGUACAUGACCUGUGAGGUCCCUUCCUGUUCACUCAGGCAUCCAUCAGCAGCUGCUUGGAAGAUGCACUGGAUCUGUGUGUAAAGGCCCAAGGCAGCCCUCCGAGGCUGGGCUCCGCACCCUGGCCUUGAGGUCUGAGUCACAUACCAAAGGAAGCUUGUUUCUAAGGGAGCUUUGAAAACCUUCACUGUCUUCCUUUCCUCUCCUGCUCACUCCAUUCUCCACUGGUUGUUUUUUUGUUUGUUUUGUUUUGUUUUUUAGUGCGUGUGUCCAUGCAUGCUUGCACGUGUGUAGUAGGUGCAGAGACCAAAA